CAGUCGCCGCGGGAAUACAGAGGGUGCGAGCGUUAAUCGGAUUUACUGGGCGUAAAGCGUGCGUAGGCGGCUUCUUAAGUCGGAUGUGAAAUCCCUGAGCUUAACUUAGGAAUUGCAUUCGAUACUGGGAAGCUAGAGUAUGGGAGAGGAUGGUAGAAUUCCAGGUGUAGCGGUGAAAUGCGUAGAGAUCUGGAGGAAUACCGAUGGCGAAGGCAGCCAUCUGGCCUAAUACUGACGCUGAGGUACGAAAGCAUGGGGAGCAAACAGGAUUAGAUACCCGAGUAGCCCUGUCUCUUAUACA
rnacentral:rRNA from 1 species